CCAGGGACUCGUGCAUGCUAAGCAAAUGCUCUACCACUGAGCUGCAUCCCCAGUCCUUUCUUUAAAUUUUGAGACAGGGUCUCACGAAGUCACCCAGACUUAAGCUUGCAAUGCUACUGCCUCAGUUUCCCAAGUAACUGGAUUACAGGUAUGUGCCCCCAUGCAUGGCUCUGGCUUGUCCUUUUAAUUUCUAAUUCUCACUCCUGGAUCUGACCCAUUUGCCCCAUUACAGUUACUUUCAGUGUAGAGGGAAGUAAACAAAAGAUGGUAUAUGACAUAGAAACUACCCAGGUAUUACGGUUUGGAUAUGAAAUGUACCCGAAAGGCCAUGUGCUAAAGACUUGGUCCCCAGCUGGUGAUUUUGUAGAUAACUGGGGACAUGACUGAAGAGUUUAUUUUGUCCCUAGAUCCUUCCUUUCUCUCUUGCUCCUUCCUAGCCACCAUGAGAUGAGCAGCUUUGCCUGUCACACUCUACCCACCAUGAUGUUCUGCCUCAUCAUGAGCCCACAGCCAUGUGGCCCAACAAGUAUGAAAUAAAACGUAUGAAACUGGGAUCCAAAAUAAAUCUUUCCUUCUUCAUGUUGUUUUUCUCAGGUAUUUCAUCACAGUGACAUCAAGUUGACUAAUACGCCAGUCGAGAGUAGAUAAUAAUAAUCAUGUGUAUAGCGCUAUAUUCACGUUUACAACAAA
rnacentral:lncRNA from 1 species